rnacentral:tRNA from 1 species
CCGGCUAGCUCAGUCGGUAGAGCAUGGGACUCUUAAUCCCAGGGUCGUGGUAUUUUGCUAGCCGGA